rnacentral:rRNA from 1 species
AUGGCAGGUACAGAGGGAUGCUACCGGGCGACCGGAUGCGGAUCUCGAGAGCCUGUCCCAGUUCGGACUGGAGUCUGCAACCCGACUCCACGAAGUUGGAUUCGCUAGUAAUCGCGCAUCAGCCAUGGCGCGGUGAAUACGUUCCCGGGCCUUGUACACACCGCCCGUCAAGCCAUGGGAGCCGGGGGCGCCUGAAGUCCGGGACCGCGAGGACCGGCCUAGGGCGAAACUGGUAACUGGGGCUAAGUCGUAACAAGGUAAC